rnacentral:sRNA from 1 species
AAUAAUUUAGCUAUUGCAAAAUUAACGGAAAAUGGCUAAUCUGAUUCCAACGAUGGGUUAUUAUGCCUGUGACGUUACAAGAAUUAAGAACCUCGCCUCGGCGGGGUUUU